ensembl:lncRNA
GUAAUUAGAGUCAGCAGGGAAGCAACCGGGCCCUAGCGGGCCUCUCGUUUCUCUCCUGGUUGUUGUGGAGGAUUGGCAGGGCCGCUUCCUUCCAGGGGCGAGGCAUGUGCCUGGGUCAUAACUCAAAGACGAAAAUGAUCAUCAAUUUGCGCCCUGCUCCCGGGAUAAACUGGGGAGGAGGACCGAGAUUACUAGAGUAAUCAGAGUACAGGUAGAGCAGGGAGAGGAUGGUGCGAGGCCCGUUGCCUUGGGUGCAGUUAAUGGAACAAACUAAGAUUGUUGCCUAAUCGACUUCUACUAAGUUAAUUUGAAUAGAUUCACAUUCCUUAUGCAUCGGGCUAAAAGAAUGACCAGGCAAAAUGAGUGACCCUUUUGACAUAAAAGUCAAGAAUUAUCCUACACCAGCAGACCUGACGGGACGCUGCAGAGGCAGCAGCUGCAGUGAGCAGGCAUGAUGAAAGCACCAGGCCGUGAAGCCCCAUUAGGAAAAGGAUCUCAUCCACUGUCUUGUGAGUCAUUGUUUGGAGAUGAUCUGAGCUAAAUUCCUUCUGAGGCCAGCCUUCCGGGAUGGAGUGGAACUGUUGAGCGUUGCCCUGGAAAUGUGAACUAGAG